CGGGAGCUCGGGGUGUGGGGCUGGGGUCCCGGGACUGCCCGGGCGUGGGAACCGACGUGCUGUCUGACACCGAGCUUCGGUCCCGUAGCUGCAGAGCGGGGCUGGCAGAGGGACUGUGCGCCCUCGACGCAAGGGCUGCGGGGCAGGGAUGCGGAAGGCUCUGGGGCUGGGAGGCACCGUCCCCUCCCAGCCCCACCCGGUGCAAGCGCUGACGCCGGCGGGGACCCGGAACUGGUGCCUACCGCGGGCCGGCCCAGCCAAGCCCAGCCCAGCCCAGAGAGCGCGCGCUGCGAGCGGAACCUGACUUGGAACCCUAGAGUUGCUGCCUGUUACACGGAGGGACUUGGAGCACGUCUCUGAACCUGAGCUGCAUCUGGUCUGCGGGAUUCAGGAGCCAGGCCCACACCUUUUAUUGAACACCAGGCCUCGUUUUAGGCUCCAAAAGAUGACAGACAUUGAGUUUACCCUCCCACCCGCAAGUCCAGAGGAAAGGAUCCUGACUGGCUGGAGCCAGAACAUGGCUUUGGCCAUAUUAACUGGUUUAGCCCUAGGCCUUUCAGAAUCAACUACUCCUCUCAACAAGAUGGUUACUCUGGUUUCAUACAUGCCUUUGUGUGUGUUUGUGCUGCUGGGGAUGGAACCCAGGG